GAUCUCCCAACCCUGUGUUUACUCAACCUUUUGUUGCUUCGGCGAGUCCGUCCCCCAAAGGGACCGCCGGAGGACCGUCUACACGUCCUCUGGCCCGUGCUCGCCGACGGCCCAAAUCCAAAACUCAUGAACCAAACUUGAAUUGACUGAGUACCACAUUUAAUCAAAACAAAACUUUCAACAACGGAUCUCUUGGUUCUGGCAUCGAUGAAGAACGCAGCGAAAUGCGAUAAGUAAUGCGAAUUGCAGAAUUCCAGUGAGUCAUCGAAUCUUUGAACGCACAUUGCGCCCUUUGGCAUUCCGAAGGGCAUGCCUGUUCGAGCGUCAUUAUCACCUCUCAAGCCCCCUGGGUUUGGCCUUGGACGGCUGGUCGGGCGACGCCCCGACCCCUCCUAAAGACAACGACGGCGGCUUUGUCUGACCCCCGGUACACUGAGCUUCUUAACCGAGCACGUACCGGAACGAGGGUCGGCGGGCCACGGUCUUCUCCCCUUACAGGGAAAUUUUCUCAG
rnacentral:rRNA from 1 species